AUGCAAACAGCUUGUCAAGCCGUACAGCAUCAAAGAGGCCGGAGACAGUAUAACAAACUGCGAAACCUGCUGAAGGAUGCCCGUCGUGAUUGCAUCCUCUUUGCUAAUGAAUUCCAGCAAUGCUGCUAUCUGCCUCGGGAAAGAGGAGAGUCCAUGGAGAAGUGGCAGACCAGGAGCAUAUACAACGCGGCUGUUUGGUACUAUCAUCACUGCCAGGACAGGAUGCCAAUUGUUAUGGUGACAGAAGAUGAAGAGGCAAUUCAGCAAUAUGGAAGUGAAACAGAAGGAGUAUUUGUGAUUUCCUUCAAGAAUUACCUGGACAAUUUCUGGCCUGAUUUAAAAGCUGCCCGCGAGCUUUGUGAUUCUAUUCUUCAGUCUCGACGGGAAAGAGAGAAUGAGAGUCAGGAGAGCCAUGGGAAGGAGUAUCCAGAACAUCUUCCCCUGGAAGUGUUAGAAGCUGGAAUUAAAUCUGGACGCUAUAUCCAGGUGAGGGUGCUAAUUUAGAAUGUGUCAGGGCUGGGUGUGGUGGCUCAUGCCUAUAAUCCCAACACUUUGGCUAAGGCUGGUAGAUCACUUGAGCCCAAGAGCUGGAGUCUAGACUGGGCAACAUAGUGAGACCCUGUCUCUACAAACAAUUUUAAAAUUAGCCAGGCAUAGUGGUGUGUACCUAUAGUCCCAGAUUACUUGGGAGGCUGAGGCAGGAGGAUCACUUCAGCCUGGAUGGUUGAGGCAGCCAUGAUUGUGCCACUGUACUCCAGCCUGGGCAACAGCAAGAACCUGUCUCAAGGAAAAAAAAAAAAAAAAA
ensembl:lincRNA